CCUACGGGCGGCAGCAGUGGGGAAUAUUGGACAAUGGGGGGAACCCUGAUCCAGCGACGCCGCGUGAGUGAAGAAGUAUUUCGGUAUGUAAAGCUCUAUCAGCAGGGAAGAAAGAAAUGACGGUACCUGAGUAAGAAGCCCCGGCUAACUACGUGCCAGCAGCCGCGGUAAUACGUAGGGGGCAAGCGUUAUCCGGAUUUACUGGGUGUAAAGGGAGCGUAGACGGCGAUGCAAGUCUGAAGUGAAAGGCGGGGGCCCAACCCCCGGACUGCUUUGGAAACUGUAUGGCUGGAGUGCAGGAGAGGUAAGUGGAAUUCCUAGUGUAGCGGUGAAAUGCGUAGAUAUUAGGAGGAACACCAGUGGCGAAGGCGGCUUACUGGACUGUAACUGACGUUGAGGCUCGAAAGCGUGGGGAGCAAACAGGAUUAGAUACCCCAGUAGUC
rnacentral:rRNA from 1 species